rnacentral:rRNA from 1 species
UGCAGUCGAGUGCGCAGUUCCCUGUAGCAAUACAGGGCACGGGCGCACGGCGCACGGGUGAGUAACACGUGGGCAACCUGCCCUCCGAUGGGGGAUAACCCCGCGAAAGCGGGGCUAAUACCGCAUAACAUUCCGUUGAUUUCGAUUGACGGACUCAAAGCCCGCAAGGGCGUCGAAGGAGGGGCCCGCGCCCGAUUAGCUAGUUGGUGAGGUAAUGGCUCACCAAGGCGAUGAUCGGUAGCCGGUCUGAGAGGACGAUCGGCCACACUGGAACUGAGAUACGGUCCAGACUCCUACGGGAGGCAGCAGUGGGGAAUCUUGCGCAAUGGGCGAAAGCCUGACGCAGCGACGCCGCGUGGGGGAUGAAGCCUUUCGGGGUGUAAACCCCUUUCGACCCGGACGAAUCGCCCGCAAGGGAAUUGACGGUACGGGUAGAAGAAGCCCCGGCUAACUACGUGCCAGCAGCCGCGGUAAAACGUAGGGGGCCAGCGUUGCUCGGAAUUACUGGGCGUAAAGGGUUCGUAGGCGGUGCGGCAAGUCGGAAGUGAAAUCUCAGGGCUUAACUCUGAGGCUGCUCCCGAAACUGCCGUGCUCGAGUGCGGGAGAGGCGAGUGGAAUUGCAGGUGUAGCGGUGAAAUGCGUAGAUAUCUGCAGGAACACCAGUGACGAAGGCGGCUCGCUGGACCGCAACUGACGCUGAGGAACGAAAGCUAGGGGAGCAAACAGGAUUAGAUACCCUGUAGUCCUAGCCCUAAACCAUCAGGACUUGGGGUGCAUCCCGUUCGGGGUGCGUCCCGGAGCUAACGCGUUAAGUCCUGCGCCUGGGGAGUACGGCCGCAAGGCUGAAACUCAAAGGAAUUGACGGGGGCCCGCACAAGCGGUGGAACAUGUG